rnacentral:tRNA from 1 species
GCGGGGGUAACUCAGUUGGUAGAGUAUCUGCCUUCCAAGCAGACUGUCGCGGGUUCGAGUCCCGUCCCCCGCUCCC